UACGAAGGGGACUAGCGUUGUUCGGAAUCACUGGGCGUAAAGCGCACGUUAGGCGGAUUGCUAAGUCAGGGGUGAAAUCCUGGAGCUCAACUCCAGAACUGCCCUUGAUACUGGCGGUCUCGAGUCCGGGAGAGGUGAGUGGAACUGCGAGUGUAGAGGUGAAAUUCGUAGAUAUUCGCAAGAACACCAGUGGCGAAGGCGGCUCACUGGCCCGGUACUGACGCUGAGGUGCGAAAGCGUGGGGAGCAAACAGGG
rnacentral:rRNA from 1 species